rnacentral:rRNA from 1 species
UACGUAGGCAGCGAGCGUUGUUCGGAGUUACUGGGCGUAAAGGGUGUGUAGGCGGUUGUUUAAGUUUGGUGUGAAAUCUCCCGGCUCAACCGGGAGGGUGCGCCGAAUACUGAAUGACUUGGAGUGUGGGAGAGGUGAGUGGAAUUCCUGGUGUAGCGGUGAAAUGCGUAGAUAUCAGGAGGAACACCGGUGGUGUAGACGGCUCACUGGACCAUAACUGACGCUGAGACACGAAAGCGUGGGUAGCAAACAGG